rnacentral:rRNA from 1 species
GGAAAACGCUGGGCGGCGUGCCUAAUACAUGCAUGUCGAGCGCAGGAAAUCGACGGAACCCUUCGGGGGGAAGUCGACGGAAUGAGCGGCGGACGGGUGAGUAACACGUAAAGAACCUGCCCUCAGGUCUGGGAUAACCACGAGAAAUCGGGGCUAAUACCGGAUGGGUCAUCGGACCGCAUGGUCCGAGGAUGAAAGGCGCUCCGGCGUCGCCUGGGGAUGGCUUUGCGGUGCAUUAGCUAGUUGGUGGGGUAAUGGCCCACCAAGGCGACGAUGCAUAGCCGACCUGAGAGGGUGAUCGGCCACACUGGGACUGAGACACGGCCCAGACUCCUACGGGAGGCAGCAGUAGGGAAUCUUCCACAAUGGACGAAAGUCUGAUGGAGCAACGCCGCGUGAACGAUGAAGGCCUUCGGGUCGUAAAGUUCUGUUGUAAGGGAAGAACAAGUGCCGCAGGCAAUGGCGGCACCUUGACGGUACCUUGCGAGAAAGCCACGGCUAACUACGUGCCAGCAGCCGCGGUAAUACGUAGGUGGGCAAGCGUUGUCCGGAAUUAUUGGGCGUAAAGCGCGCGCAGGCGGCCUCUUAAGUCUGAUGAGAAACCCCCCGGUUCACCGGGGAAGGGCCAUUGGAAAACUGGGGAGGUUUGAUUAUAGAAAAAAAAAGUGGAAUUCCCCUUGUGCGGUGAAAUGCGAAAAGGGGAAGAACCCGGGG